AUUCUACUCCCUCCGUUCCACAAUACAUGCCUUCUAUUUGUCAAAAUAUAGAUGUAUCUAGACAUGCUUUAGUAUAUAGGUACAUCCAUUUUUGGACAAAUGGAAGUCAAGUAUUUUGGAACGGAGGGAGUACACA
rnacentral:pre_miRNA from 1 species